AGAUUAAGUUAUUAAGGGCGCACGGUGGAUGCCUUGGCACUAGAAGCCGAUGAAGGACGUUACUAACGACGAUAUGCUUUGGGGAGCUGUAAGUAAGCUUUGAUCCAGAGAUUUCCGAAUGGGGAAACCCAGCAUGAGUUAUGUCAUGUUAUCGAUAUGUGAAUACAUAGCAUAUCAGAAGGCACACCCGGA
rnacentral:rRNA from 1 species